UUUAAUUUAUAGAAACAAAAAUAAUAAUAAUAAAAAAAAAUUUCUAAUGUUGGGAAAUUUACUAUCAUUGCUGAGUGGUUAUGCAGUUGGUGGUGUGAUGGGUGUUUAUUUAGCACAGAACUAUGAGAUACCCGACGUAAAUGCUGCAUUGACGUCUCUUUUGAACAAAGUAUCAAGUUAUGAGAAAUCUGAUCCAAAGAAAAAAGAAUAACUAACUCAACGUGAGAGGACAGAAAUGGACAUGUGAGAGGACAGAGAUGGACAUGAUAAAAGACAGAGAGAGAUGGACAUGUUUUAGUUUUUUCAUCGAAACCUCGUGCAGCUGUUUUAAUUAGUAAAAAUAUUAUUUCUAUUUCAAAUUUAUAUUAUUUUGAACAUUCGAGACUCGUUAAACGGAUCGCGCUAGGUCUAUUUUCCUCCCUUUAUCAUUUAUUUUUUAUAAGCUUGUUUCAAUAGCUUCAAGUAAAUCG
rnacentral:lncRNA from 1 species